rnacentral:rRNA from 1 species
UACGGGGGGUGCAAGCGUUAUCCGGAUUCACUGGGUUUAAAGGGUGCGUAGGCGGGCAGGUAAGUCAGUGGUGAAAUCUCCGGGCUUAACUCGGAAACUGCCAUUGAUACUAUCUUUCUUGAAUACCGUGGAGGUCAGCGGAAUAUGUCAUGUAGCGGUGAAAUGCUUAGAUAUGACAUAGAACACCAAUGGCGAAGGCAGCUGGCUACACGAAUAUUGACACUGAUGCACGAAAGCGUGGGGAGCAAACAGG